rnacentral:rRNA from 1 species
CAGUAGCCGCGGUAAUACGUAGGGUGCGAGCGUUAAUCGGAAUUACUGGGCGUAAAGCGUGCGCAGGCGGUUCGUUAAGACAGAUGUGAAAUCCCCGGGCUUAACCUGGGAACUGCAUUUGUGACUGGCGAGCUAGAGUAUGGCAGAGGGGGGUAGAAUUCCACGUGUAGCAGUGAAAUGCGUAGAGAUGUGGAGGAAUACCGAUGGCGAAGGCAGCCCCCUGGGCCAAUACGGACGCUCAUGCACGAAAGCGUGGGGAGCAAACAGGAUUAGAUACCCGUGUAGUCCCUGUCUCUUAUAC